rnacentral:rRNA from 1 species
UACGUAGGGUGCAAGCGUUAAUCGGAAUUACUGGGCGUAAAGCGUGCGCAGGCGGUCUUGCAAGACAGGUGUAAAUCCCCGGGCUUAACCUGGGAACUGCACUUGUGACUGCAAGGCUGGAGUACGGCAGAGGGGGAUGGAAUUCCGCGUGUAGCAGUGAAAUGCGUAGAUAUGCGGAGGAACACCGAUGGCGAAGGCAAUCCCCUGGGCCUGUACUGACGCUCAUGCACGAAAGCGUGGGGAGCAAACAGG